GCGAUAUUUGUUACUUAUAUGAUAUAGUAAUUUUGUUCACACUUUUUUUUGCUAGAUACAAAGGUUAAUUAGAUUCUGUGAUACGAGAUUUAAAAGCAUAAUUCUCCUGAAUCUAAAGACCAUGGCCUAUAAAUUAACUGGAAAAUUAACCAUAAACUCAAAAACAACCUAAAACUUAUUUAAGAUGGGAAUCAUAAGUUUUACACCCAACAAUCUCUCUAAUCAAAUCGAUACGGAGACGACGGACGGACGGACUGGUGGGACCCUUACAAGUUGUAAAACUAGUUUGUGUUUGUGUUUUUUUUUUUGUUUCUUUUGUCCCGAGAAAAAAACAAACAAACAUAGAAAAGCGACGAGCGGGAGAGACCACGAAAGAAAUAAAAAUCAAUCACAUGGAGAAGAUACGAAAAUACGGAUAUGAUCCAAGAAGCUAAGAUGCUGAGGCCUAUCAUUGCGUUUCACAUAUCCACGCGCUUCGUUUUCCGUGUACGCGCCGAAUGAUCUUCCUCUAUUCCUCCUCCACAGCUCUUCCUCAUAACUCUUAUGAGCGUAAUACGCCUCCACCACGCACGACGACGGCGCCUCUGUUUCCAGAUCUCCUUCUUCUUCUUCUUCUUCCUCCGCCGCCGCGAGACGUAUCGGUUGCCGGAUGUAAUGACCGCGACUGAUUCCUUCGAGCUCGUCGAGACGAGAGAGACCGCGAGGAGAAACCGCGUAAAGCUCGCCGUUGACGUGAUAGCCCGAUCCAGGUUUGUUGAGGAGGAAAGGGACUCGGUAAGGUCCACAGACGAGAGGAUAUUUGUCUAGAGUUUGGUAAACACCUUUGAAAGAAGCGUCACCAGAUCGGAUCAGAUCUUGCAUCAGGACAUGAUUUGAGAAUCCUCUCUUUAGAGUUCCGUACGUGAACACGAGCGUUGUUGUUGCCGGCGUCAUUGUUUCGUGUCCCAUGAUUGAACAAGAGAAAUUAAACGUAGAGAUUAAUUUGGACGGAGAAAGAAGAAGAGAUCAAACGUAGAAUUGUUUUGUGUGGUUGGUGAAGAAAAAAUAGAAUCAGAAUCGGAAAAAGAGAAAGAGAGAGAGAGAGAUAAGAGAAAAUGGAAUCUCUGAUUUUUAGGGCUUUGAAUAUUUUGGGUUAAACCGAUGACGCGUUUAUAUAGCACUUGAUUUCCUC